UGCUGGAGGUAUCAGAAGUGCGAAUGCUGACAUAAGUAACGAUAAAGCGGGUGAAAAGCCCGCUCGCCGGAAGACCAAGGGUUCCUGUCCAACGUUAAUCGGGGCAGGGUGAGUCGACCCCUAAGGCGAGGCCGAAAGGCGUAGUCGAUGGGAAACGGGUUAAUAUUCCCGUACUUGGUGUUACUGCGAAGGGGGGACGGAGAAGGCUAUGUUAGCCGGGCGACGGUUGUCCCGGUUUAAGCGUGUAGGCUUGCAUCCCAGGCAAAUCCGGGGUGCUUUAAGGCUGAGGCGUGAUGACGAGGCACUACGGUGCUGAAGUAACAAAUGCCCUGCUUCCGGGAAAAGCCUCUAAGCUCCAGGUAACACUGAAUCGUACCCCAAACCGACACAGGUGGUCAGGUAGAGAAUACCAAGGCGCUUGAGAGAACUCGGGUGAAGGAACUAGGCAAAAUGGUGCCGUAACUUCGGGAGAAGGCACGCUGGCGCGUAGGUGAAGGGACUUGCUCCCGGAGCUGAAGCCAGUCGAAGAUACCAGCUGGCUGCAACUGUUUAUUAAAAACACAGCACUGUGCAAACACGAAAGUGGACGUAUACGGUGUGACGCCUGCCCGGUGCCGGAAGGUUAAUUGAUGGGGUUAUCCGCAAGGAGAAGCUCUUGAUCGAAGCCCCGGUAAACGGCGGCCGUAACUAUAACGGUCCUAAGGUAGCGAAAUUCCUUGUCGGGUAAGUUCCGACCUGCACGAAUGGCGUAAUGAUGGCCAGGCUGUCUCCACCCGAGACUCAGUGAAAUUGAACUCGCUGUGAAGAUGCAGUGUACCCGCGGCAAGACGGAAAGACCCCGUGAACCUUUACUACAGCUUGACACUGAACAUUGAGCCUUGAUGUGUAGGAUAGGUGGGAGGCUUUGAAGCGUGGACGCCAGUCUGCGUGGAGCCGACCUUGAAAUACCACCCUUUAACGUUUGAUGUUCUAACGUAGGCCCGUUAUCCGGGCUGCGGACAGUGUCUGGUGGGUAGUUUGACUGGGGCGGUCUCCUCCUAAAGCGUAACGGAGGAGCACGAAGGUCAGCUAAUCACGGUCGGACAUCGUGAGGUUAGUGCAAUGGCAUAAGCUGGCUUGACUGCGAGAGUGACGGCUCGAGCAGGUGCGAAAGCAGGUCAUAGUGAUCCGGUGGUUCUGAAUGGAAGGGCCAUCGCUCAACGGAUAAAAGGUACUCCGGGGAUAACAGGCUGAUACCGCCCAAGAGUUCAUAUCGACGGCGGUGUUUGGCACCUCGAUGUCGGCUCAUCACAUCCUGGGGCUGAAGUAGGUCCCAAGGGUACGGCUGUUCGCCGUUUAAAGUGGUACGCGAGCUGGGUUUAGAACGUCGUGAGACAGUUCGGUCCCUAUCUGCCGUGGGCGCUGGAAGACUGAGAGGGGUUGCUCCUAGUACGAGAGGACCGGAGUGAACGCACCACUGGUGUUCGGGUUGUCAUGCCAAUGGCAUUGCCCGGUAGCUAAGUGCGGAAAAGAUAAGCGCUGAAAGCAUCUAAGCGCGAAACUUGCCUCGAGAUGAGUCUUCCCUGACUCCUUGAGAGUCCUGAAGGGACGUUGAAGACGACGACGUUGAUAGGCCGGGUGUGUAAGCGCAGCGAUGCGUUGAGCUAACCGGUACUAAUGACCCGUGAGGCUUAACCUUACAACGCCAGAGGCGUUUUG
rnacentral:rRNA from 1 species